rnacentral:hammerhead_ribozyme from 1 species
AUCCAGCUGACGAGUCCCAAAUAGGAUGAAACGUACUUCAAACUGGAU